AUGCUAACAAAUUGGUACAGAGGUUUAUUUUCUUUUUUGCAGAAAUAUGAGAAGAACAAAACAAAGUCAGCCGCACAACAUCGGCCAUCUCUCUGUGAUCCACUCUCACUUCACGCGUACAGACCACCUUGCCGUUCAACCAGCUUCGGCCUUCCUCACAUCGCGAUUGCAACGCCGGCCGAUCUCGUUGCACGACACCAUGAACAACCAGCCAACGCUCUACUCAACGUCUGA